ensembl:snRNA U1 U1 spliceosomal RNA
CUACUUACCUGUCAGGGAAAAUACCAUGAUCAUGAAGGUGGUUUUCCCAAGACAAGGUUUAUCCAUUUUACUCCAGAUAUGCUAACCCCUGCUAUUCCCCAAAUGUGGGAAACUCAACUGUAUAAUUUGUGGUAGUGAGGGACUGUCUUUUC